rnacentral:rRNA from 1 species
CCCUUAGAUGUUCUGGGCCGCACGCGCGCUACACUGAAUGGAUCAACGUGUUUUCCCUUCCCGAGAGGGACGGGUAACCCGCUGAACCCCAUUCGUGGUAGGGAUCGGAGCUUGCAAUUGUUCUCCGUGAACCAGGAAUUCCCAGUAAGCGCAAGUCAUAAGCUUGCGUUGAUUACGUCCCUGCCCUUUGUACACACCGCCCGUCGCUACUACCGAUUGAACGGUCCGGUGAAGCCUCCGGAUUGGCGCGCACCUCGGUGCCGCCGAGAAGUUGGCUAAACCUUACCAUUUAGAGGAAGGUGAAGUCGUAACA